rnacentral:rRNA from 1 species
AUUGAACGCUGGCGGCAGGCUUAACACAUGCAAGUCGAGCGGAGCGAGGGUGCUUGCACCUUAGCUUAGCGGCGGACGGGUGAGUAAUGCUUAGGAAUCUGCCUAUUAGUGGGGGACAACAUUCCGAAAGGAAUGCUAAUACCGCAUACGCCCUACGGGGGAAAGCAGGGGAUCUUCGGACCUUGCGCUAAUAGAUGAGCCUAAGUCGGAUUAGCUAGUUGGUGGGGUAAAGGCCUACCAAGGCGACGAUCUGUAGCGGGUCUGAGAGGAUGAUCCGCCAAACUGGGACUGGGACACGGCCCAGACUCCUACGGGAGGCAGCAGUGGGGAAUAUUGGACAAUGGGCGGAAGCCUGAUCUAGCCAUGCCGCGUGUGUGAAGAAGGCCUUUUGGUUGUAAAGCACUUUAAGCGAGGAGGAGGCUACUUAGAUUAAUACUCUGGGAUAGUGGACGUUACUCGCAGAAUAAGCACCGGCUAACUCUGUGCCAGCAGCCGCCGUAA